UACGAAGGGGGCUAGCGUUGUUCGGAAUUACUGGGCGUAAAGGGCGCGUAGGCUGUGCUGUAAGUCAGGCGUGAAAGGCCCGGGCUCAACCUGGGAAUGGCGCUUGAUACUGCGGCGCUGGAAGGUGGGAGAGGAUGGCGGAAUUCCCAGUGUAGAGGUGAAAUUCGUAGAUAUUGGGAAGAACACUGGUGGCGAAGGCGGCCAUCUGGCCCACAUUUGACGCUGAGGCGCGAAAGCGUGGGGAGCAAACAGG
rnacentral:rRNA from 1 species